rnacentral:rRNA from 1 species
AUUAACGUUGGUAGUAUGCCUAACACAUGCAAGUCGAGCGGAAGAAAGUAGUAAUAUUUUCUUUAGCGGCGAACGGGUGAGUAAUGCUUAUCUAACUUGCCGAUUAGUGGGGAAUAACUAUGGGAAACCAUGGCUAAUACCGCAUAUUCGUUAUUUAGUUAAUGAAAGGGAAUCGCAAGAUUCUCGCUAAUCGAUAGGGAUAAGUCGUAUUAGCUAGUUGGUGAGGUAAUAGCUCACCAAGGCAAUGAUGCGUAGCCAGUCUGAGAGGAUGAAUGGCCACAAGGGAACUGAGACACGGUCCCUACUCCUACGGGAGGCAGCAGUGAGGAAUUUUCCACAAUGGGGGAAACCCUGAUGGAGCAAUACUACGUGAAGGAGGAAGGUCUACGGAUUGUAAACUUCUGUUAGCGCGGAAGAAGGGUCGCAAGACUUUGACGGUACGCGCAGAGAAAGCCACGACUAACUACGUGCCAGCAGUCGCGGUAAGACGUAGGUGGCGAACGUUAUCCGGAAUUAUUGGGCGUAAAGGGUGCGUAGAUGGCUUAGUAAGUUGGCGGUGGGAAAUCGAGGCUCAACCUCGUGGAAGCCGACAAUACUAUUAAGCUUGAGUACAGGAGAGGUUAAUGGAACUCCAUGUGGAGCGGUAAAAUGCACAGAUAUAUGGAAGAACACCAAUAAAGGCGAAGGCAAUUAACUAUUCUGUUACUGACAUUGAGGCACGAAAGCGUGGGGAGCAAACGGAUUAGAUACCCGUGUAGUCCACGCCCUAAACGAUGAGUGCUGGAUAUUGGGAACUUGAUUCUCAGUGUCGCUAGGUAACCCGGUAAGCACUCCGCCUGGGCAGUACGCUCGCAAGAGUGAAACUCAAAGGAAUUGACGGGGACUCGCACAAGCAGUGGAGCAUGCUGGUUUAAUCCGAUACAACGCGUAGAACCUUACCAAGGCUUGACAUGUUGGGCAAAGCUAAAGAAACUUAGUGGAGGUUAUCCUAACACAGGUGCUGCAUGGUCGUCGUCAGUUCGUGCCGUGAGGUGUAUGGUUAAGUCCUAUAACGAACGCAACCCUUGAACUUAGUUACCAUCAUUCAGUUGGGGACUCUAAGUUGACUGCCUGAGUAAUCAGGAGGAAGGAAAGGACGACGUCUGAUCGUCAUGGCCCUUAUGCCUUGGGCGACACACGUGCUACAAUGGUUAACACAAAGGGAAGUCCGAAAGGCGCCAACCCGCGAGGGUGAGCAAAUCCCAAAAAAUUAGCCUCGGUUCGGAUUGGAGGCUGCAACUCGCCUCCAUGAAGUCGGAAUUGCUAGUAAUCGCAAAUCAGCCAUGUUGCGGUGAAUACGUUCUCGAGUCUUGUACACACCGCCCGUCAAAUCACGAAAGUCGGUAAUGCCUAAAACCAAUUGACUAACCCGCAAGGGAAGCGAUUGACAAGGGUAGGAUUGGCGAUUGGGGUU